rnacentral:rRNA from 1 species
AUACGGAGGGUCCGAGCGUUAUCCGGAAUCAUUGGGUUUAAAGGGUACGUAGGCGGGAAUCUAAGUCAGUGGUGAAAUCUUGCAGCUCAACUUUAAAAUUGCCAUUGAUACUGGAUUUCUUGAAUUAGUGUGCAGUGGUUAGAAUGUGUAGUGUAGCGGUGAAAUGCAUAGAUAUUACACAGAAUACCAAUUGCGAAGGCAGAUCACUAACACUAUAUUGACGCUAAGGGACGAAAGCGUGGGGAGCGAACAGGAUUAGAAACCCUGGUAGUCC